rnacentral:pre_miRNA from 12 species
CCGGUCCCCCGUCCUUGUCACUUUUCCAGCCCAGCUUUGUGAGUGCUGGACGGAGAACUGAUAAGGGUGGGCGGCCGG